rnacentral:tRNA from 1 species
UCCCUGGUGGCUCAGAGGUUAAAGCAUCUGCCUCCAAUGCAGGAGACCUGGGUUCGGUCCCUGGGUCGGGAA